rnacentral:rRNA from 1 species
AUUGAACGCUGGCGGCAUGCCUAACACAUGCAAGUCGAACGGCAGCACAGCCCGCAAGGGUGGGUGGCGUGUGGCGGACGGGUGAGGAAUACAGGGGAAUCUACCCUGUCGUGGGGGAUAACGUAGGGAAACUUACGAUAAUACCGCAUACGACCGAGAGGUGAAAGCGGCGGACCGCAAGGCGUGGCGCGGCUGGAUGAGCCCAUGUCGGAUUAGCUAGUGGGCGGGGUAAAGGCCCACCAAGGCGACGAUCCGUAGCUGGUCUGAGAGGAUGAUCAGCCACCCGGGAACUGAGACACGGUCCAGACGCCUGCGGGAGGCAGCAGUGGGGAAUACUGGACAAUGGGCGCAAGCCUGAUCCAGCAAUGCCGCGUGGGUGAAGAAGGCCUUCGGGUUGUAAAGCCCUUUUGUACGGUAAGAAAUCCUGCCGGUUAAUACCCGGCGGGGAUGACGGUACCGUAAGAAUAAGCACCGGCUAACUUCGUGCCAGCAGCCGCCGUAAAAC